GACAGAAUAGUUUAACCAAAACCAUGAAUUGUGGUUUCAUAAAUGCCUAAGGCUUCUGUCC
rnacentral:tRNA from 1 species